UAGAAAUUGAAGCUGUUCUGAUUUUAAAGAUGCUGUACACGCAGAGAUAUUCCUAAAGAUGAUAUGACUGAACUGGAUUUUUAUAUAUCUACUUACCUUUUAAUGCGCUUUCAUUUCUGAUGCUUUCAGAUGGGCAUACAUCUAACACAGUUUAUUUUGUGCCAGGUUUAUGGCUUGGGUAUUUCCUGUAUUCCAAAUGAAGAGAUUUGCUGUUCCUGAGAGGAAAGGUUUUUCCCUAUGGAAGACAAUUUUUUGGCAAGUCUAGCAGUUUCUAACCUGCCAAAUAGUUGUGAUGGGAUGUCGGUGUUCCCAGAAAAGUGUUCAGUGCCUUUUAUUUGAAGAAUUGGAAAUAGAACUCAAAGGCAAGAUAAAGUUUAGACAAGAACCUUUUACAGCUUCACCAGCAUCUCUUCAGCUAAAGACCUAAUAAGCAAACAGUCUAUUUCCUGCUGCAAUAUGUGAAGAAAGCUCUGUCCAGGCCCUUCUCAAUCCCUACUGAGGAGGUGAGCUACAAAUGGAUUCCAAAGGCAUCAUUUCUCAUGUAUCAUUCUGCACUGCUAUUAAUCCUGAUAGUACAACUGUGAGCCUACUGCUUGGAAUUUCUAAGUGGUGCAGGGGAUGUAACCACCUGACGUUAGGUGAUUUAAACCAUAAUUGGGCUCCCUAUGAAAAAUGGUCAGAUUUGCAGUAUGUUUAGCACCCACAGCUCCUACUAAAUUAAACUUCAUUAACUUAUCAAAAGACACAGUGGGAACAUCAGUACCAGUAAUAGAACUAAGGGAUUCCUGCCAGCCAAUCUUGCGUUCACACCACUGAUCUCUAUUGUAGUGAAGACCGUGUAAGCAGGGAAAAGUUCAGCAGACACAAUAAGGAUCUUAAGCAUAAAUAAUGGAGAUAAAAUGAAAUUUUUGUUUGAUUGAAGUCAAUGGCUAUAUUGAUGCUAAAUUCUGCUGGGGCUUAAAUUAACCCUAUGGACUUGAUUUCCAUAUGCAGUAAGCAUUUGCAUCUCUUUCAUAGCAAAUAAUGAUGGCAAAGUAUAAAAACAGUCUAUUCUUGAAGUUGCUAAAAUGAUGUGAAGUAACCACAGAAAAGAGAAUCGUGCCCCUGUAAUGAAGAUUAGAUAGGAUAAAGCAAAGACAAUGUCGGUCCCUGUGGAAGGUGCUGGUUAACGUAAUUAUAUGUCUACUACAGGAGAGUAUUCCUGCACCAAAACCAAAAUGUAGUAGCAGUAAAAUGAGAGAAAAGGAGGGAUACUGGGUAAUAAUGUACAGUAGCAAUUGGAAAAGAAAUCUGAAAUAUCCCACUGGAGGAUGGUAAUCAAAGACAGUUUAAAAGAUCAACUUGAAGUAUUUUUAUUUUCACAGCACACAAAAAGUGAGAAAUUAAAUUAGGAUGACCUGAGCACAUUUUGCAAAGGGCAAUGCUACUGGAGUGGAAUAUUGAUGACUCACAAAUGCUACUCUUAUUUAUAAUACUCAAACUGAUGAGAAGUUGUCUGCUGUAUACAUACGUUAUUGGAAUAUCAUUACUUUGGAG
rnacentral:lncRNA from 1 species